AGCCUGCCAUAUGGGCAGGGACGCUACCGCGACAUGGUGCGUCUGGGGAAGUCCGGUGAGAUUCCGGCGCUGUCGCGCAACGGUAUGCAGGCCCUGACCUGCGAGCCCGAAUACCACCUGGGGACGUUUCUGAAG
rnacentral:ncRNA from 2 species